rnacentral:rRNA from 1 species
GACGAACGCUGGCGGCGUGCUUAACACAUGCAAGUCGAACGAAAAGAGGGAAAGAGCUUGCUCUUUCCGGAAUUGAGUGGCAAACGGGUGAGUAACACGUAAACAACCUGCCUUCAGGAUGGGGACAACAGACGGAAACAACUGCUAAUACCGAAUAAGUUCCAAGGGCCGCAUGGCCCAUGGAAGAAAAGGUGGCCUCUACCUGUAAGCUAUCGCCUGAAGAGGGGUUUGCGUCUGAUUAGCUGGUUGGAGGGGUAACGGCCCACCAAGGCGACGAUCAGUAGCCGGUCUGAGAGGAUGAACGGCCACACUGGAACUGAGACACGGUCCCGACUCCUACGGGAGGCAGCAGUGGGGAAUCUUCCGCAAUGGGCGAAAGCCUGACGGAGCAACGCCGCGUGAGUGAUGACGGCCUUCGGGUUGUAAAACUCUGUGAUCCGGGACGAAAAGGCAGAGUGCGAAGAACAAACUGCAUUGACGGUACCGGAAAAGCAAGCCACGGCUAACUACGUG